AUCACAUCCUGCUGGGUGACAUGGGUAAUGAGGUAAUGACAUGUUCAUUAGUGUUCGCGUGCGGAGUCAGGGCGUUUAGUGCUAACCGGAGGAAUAGCGCGGGUUUGGCUCCCCCAACUGGCAAGAACCGAUGAAACCGCCUGGGCCUUUAUUACGGACUUCAGGUUCCGUGCAGUGAGGUACCUGUUUCUGGACAUCUCAUUCCUAAUAGCCAAGCAGAUUGUGAUCUCUUUGGACAACACCAAUGUCUGUGGCGUGUUUGCAGGAGAAUUUGAGUCAUGCUGGUGUACAUAGCUGGAGGGGGAAUUUUAUUUGCAGGAUCUGAUUAUUGCUGGAGCCCAUUGGAGGAUCUUGAGGCAGCGCCAAAGAUAAUGUUUUUGGACAUUGAAACAUACAAUGACUAUAAUGUUAACGUAUGUACACUGAUUGAAUUUGAUAUUUUAUACAAUUUAGGGUAACCAGUUUUGACUUCAAAUACAUAUUUCUGUGUAUAAGGCAGUCAAUUGUUGAUCUCUCACUGUGUUACCGCGAAUGUAUCCAACACAUUUGUAAAGUCACAAGCUUAAUUCAGUCAUUGUGUGCUGCAAAUAUAGCACCAAAUAGCAAACUUUGUGUUAUGGGUCAAUUCUUUUGGUACCUGUAAUGGUGGGACUUUGUGGAAAAAGUGUAAUUUAAACAGUUAAUCCAGUUUUGAUGAAUGUACCUCACCCUGAAAGCGGACAGUCUAUGUUUUAACCCCGGACGUUGUAUGAAAACAAAGUCUGCAGUACAAACCAAACGCAUCAAAAGAGAAACUAUUAAACAUGUUUGUGCUUAUGAAUUAAUGUACUAGGCGAAGAACAGUUUUGGUCCAAUAGUGUAUGGAAAAGAAAUACCUGAGCCCCAGGGCCAAUGAUUUCUUAAACCGGCCCAGUUUAGAUGCAAUCCAAAGGUUAUGCUGACUAGCCUUGACUUGUCUGUACAUAUCUACAUUAGCUGAGGGGCAAUAGUUUAGUCAGUUUUGCUUCAAACUUUGGAUCCUGUUCAAACUAAGCUGUAGAAAAUGUAUACUGCUGUUAAAUCCUAACACUGACUCAUUGGAAUUCUUCCAUUUCAGUCACUCGGAGUGACAAAAGAACUUGGCACUUGCAAAGGUGCAAUUAUUGCAGACUCCCAUAAGAUAUGAAAACGGGAGGAGUUGUGUGCGCUGGAACCCACCCUGUCUCACCUUUAAGGCCGCCACGCUGCUAGAAGAAGAAGCUAGUAAAUCAAUGGCCUGCCCCUUUGCUCUGACGUCACGGCAGGAGAGCAGAACGGUACAGGUGAACCAUAGUAGAGGGGUAAAGGUGAAUUUGUCCGAACCGGAAUGAGGAGAUUCUUCGGACCACAGAUCCUCCGAGAUGAAGAGGGCAGUCAGAUCCAGUACCUGACAUUCAAGUGUAACCAUCUGACACACGAAAAAGCAGUGCUUGAAAGGGAAUGUCUGGUAGCCAGGGAGAGGGAGAGCAGCCUGAAAAAUGAGCUAGAGGCUCUGGCCGUGCGGCUCCGCCAGCAAGACCAGGCCAACCUGGAGCUGAUGGUCAAACAUGACCAACUGCUCAGCAGGUUCCAUCAUGAACAGGAUCUGGUUGCGUUCUUGCGGAAGCGGGUAGAGGAGGUGGUGGGCGAGAGCUCCAGAGAUGCCGCGCUGCUGGGCCUACAGCUGGAGCAGGUCAACGCAGAGCUGCUGCAACUGCAGAGCUCCGAGGUGAAGCUCGACGGCCUGGUGGAGGCCAUGCACGCCGAGAGCCUGCAGAGAACUGCCCUGACCGAGAGCCUGCAGGCACAGCUGCAAAGUAAGGUAUGUGAGCUCGACGGGCUGCGCAGUGAGCAUCAGAGAAAAAUACAGGAACUGCAGUGCGAGAAUGAGAAACUGCGCGACUCCAGUCAGACUCGGGUGCAGGCCCUGCAGCGGCAGAACGAGUGCAGCCUGAGGAAGCUCCAGGAAACGGCGGAGCAGUUUGAAUGGCUGUGCGAACAGCAGCGCUACUGGAUGUGCUGUGUCAAGAGGUUCAAAGACUGCCUGUCAGAUGAGAAGAAGGCUCUUGCGCAGCAGGUGACCCGGUUGGAGAAGGAGGUGGCUGAGCUGAGGGGGAGCUCCCAGGGUUCAGGGGGUGCCACCGAGGCACCGGGCCUCCCCCCUGCUGACACAGACAGCCAGCACUGUACCAGAGUUCCGUCGUGGGAGUCAGAUGAGAUUGCCAACCUGCAAACCCAGGUAGACCGAUGGAGGGGGCUGUAUCUCCACAAGUUCAGCCAGUCGCCCACCUGCCAAGGGGGGUAUGCUGUCGACGGAUAUCAAAAACCUCCCUGAGGCCAGAAGACCAUGAAAUCUUUUUCCCCCUUCAACACAGCGGACGCACUCCUCACUUUUGGCGGUUUGCGGCUCUCCACCCAUCUGUUACGGACAACCACAUAACCUUGUUGUCCUGUUGUUUUUGUCAUCCGUCUCGCAACCGCCUUGUGACCGUACUAGUGAGAGUUAAAAGUAUAUAAAACAUGUUGUCUAUUUCCUUGUCAUGGCGUGGCCCUGCACAAUGUCUAGCCAUUGUCUGUUUCCAGGCGCAUCUGGUGAAACGUAUAAUCAACAAGUAAAAACGUUUAAAAACACCUGAGUAUGUCUGGUUGUUACGCAGCCAGUCCUGAUAAUGACUCUGUCGCUGAUGAGCUGAAAACAACACGCGCAGCUGAGAUUUCAGCCUGGCGAAUGUGCCCCCCCCCCCCCCCGUCUACAAUUAGCCAGAUGUUUGUUCAAAGACAUUGUCUAUCAACCACAGGAGGAUUCAAUGGUAUGACCUAAGGCCUUCUGGAAGGCAAAGGUGUAGCCCAGGAAUAAAUGUGUCUGUCAGCUGGAAACUAGCUUGCACACAAUAAAUAGCCGGGAACCCAACCAUGCAGAACCCCGUCCUCUGAGAGGGAUCCCUUUAGGGUGUAUUAAUAGGACAUUAUAGGUACUGCAGGAACGGCAUGUUUAUGUCCAAACUUACUCACAGCCAGGGAAAACACAUGAUAUACAUUCAAGACCAGGAUAUAUCCAUAAAAAAAAAAAGUGAGACUAGUUAAAAAGUGAGACCCAGAGACAUGCUGUGUGUGAAAUGUACAUUUGUCUACUCACCUGCUGGUCCAAAUCUGAAAUCCACACCUAAGUGUUAUAAAUAGAAGUGUCUGAGACUGGGAAUUGUUCACUUGUUGUAAAUAGGGCACUUUAUGGGUGACCCAGGGGUUAUGUAAGGAAUGCCUCCCCACGUCUCCCGAGAAAAACACUUCUCAACCCGCUCCUGACCUCCGAGUCUAACAAGCAG
ensembl:lncRNA